AUUGAACGCUGGCGGCAGGCCUAACACAUGCAAGUCGAACGGUAACAGGAAGCAGCUUGCUGCUUUGCUGACGAGUGGCGGACGGGUGAGUAAUGUCUGGGAAACUGCCCGAUGGAGGGGGAUAACUACUGGAAACGGUAGCUAAUACCGCAUAACGUCGCAAGACCAAAGAGGGGGACCUUAGGGCCUCUUGCCAUCGGAUGUGCCCAGAUGGGAUUAGCUAGUAGGUGGGGUAACGGCUCACCUAGGCGACGAUCCCUAGCUGGUCUGAGAGGAUGACCGGCCACACUGGAACUGAGCCACGGUCCAGACUCCUACGGGAGGCAGCAGUGGGGAAUAUUGCACAAUGGGCGCAAGCCUGAUGCAGCCAUGCCGCGUGUAUGAAGAAGGCCUUCGGGUUGUAAAGUACUUUCAGCGGGGAGGAAGGGAGUAAAGUUAAUACCUUUGCUCAUUGACGUUACCCGCAGAAGAAGCACCGGCUAACUCCGUG
rnacentral:rRNA from 1 species